rnacentral:rRNA from 2 species
UGGGGAAUAUUGGGCAAUGGGGGGAACCCUGACCCAGCAACGCCGCGUGAAGGAAGAAGGUUUUCGGAUUGUAAACUUCUGUCCUCAGGGAAGAAGGAAGUGACGGUACCUGAGGAGGAAGCCCCGGCUAACUACGUGCCAGCAGCCGCGGUAAUACGUAGGGGGCGAGCGUUGUCCGGAAUGACUGGGCGUAAAGGGCGCGUAGACGGCUGUCUAAGUCUGGAGUGAAAGUCCUGCUUUCAAGGUGGGAAUUGCUUUGGAGACUGGAUGGCUUGAGUGCGGAAGAGGUAAGUGGAAUUCCCAGUGUAGCGGUGAAAUGCGUAGAGAUUGGGAGGAACACCAGUGGCGAAGGCGGGUAACUGGACUGCAACUGACGCUGAGGCGCGAAAGUGUGGGGAGCAAACAGG